CUUUAAUAACUGGUCAGUGUUGUUCCACAAACCAAAGGUACUUUCUCCCCAUCAAAUAUUGAAAACAUUUUGGAUAUCAAAUGAGUUCUGCUCCUUUCUCCACCAUAAUAGAAAUAAUUAGCCAGUGUCUCGGUGUAUGUGGUAUAUUUUUCUUAACGAAUCAGUACUUCUUUUUUUCACAACAUUAGAUUACUUGCUUGCUUUCUGACCAAGUAACAAGGAUAUCUUACUUUUUUUUUCAGAAGAGUGGACUGCCUCUACAAAGAUCAGCCGAGCGCAGGCGUAGCUCUGUCGUAGUGAGUCUGCCGGGACUCGAGGUGUUCCCUGGAGACCUCCUGGUGUCAGACAGUGCCUUGGACUACCUGCCCCACGCAGCCCUACUGCUAAAUGCAGAGUCCAAAAAGCCAAGGUGGCCGUUUGCCAAAAGAGGAGUUGGUAAAGACAAACAGAAGCAAGAUCUGGAAAACUGUCUUUCAACUCUUAAGAUCAUAGAUUGCGGCACAUAUGAUUUCUGCUGUUUCAAGAGUAAAUCUUGGCACGAGUUUAUAAAGGCUCAACAGACUGAGCAGAAAGAUGUCAACAGCCGGUUGGAAGUGAAAAAAGAAGAAGCGGUGUGGGAACUUUUCACAAGUGAAUGCACUUACUUUCUGGAUCAUUUGCUGGUUCUCAAGAUGGUAACUUAAGAUUUCAUUUCUCAAGAAUGAUGAAACAUUAUUUGCCCUGUU
rnacentral:lncRNA from 1 species